UUUAUGGAGAGUUUGAUCCUGGCUCAGGACUAACGCUGGCGGCGUGCCUAACACAUGCAAGUCGAACGAGUUGUUUAUAGUAGCAAUAUUGUGAACAGCAAGUGGCGAACGGGUGAGUAACACGUAGAUAAUCUGCCUUUCAGACGGGGACAACUCAGGGAAACUUGUGCUAAUACCCGAUGAGACUACGGGAGGGGACUUCUGUAGCCAAAAGUGGGGGCAACCUCACGCUGAAAGAUGAGUCUGCGUCCUAUCAGCUAGUUGGUGGGGUAAAAGCCUACCAAGGCGAAGACGGGUAGCCGGCCUGAGAGGGUGAACGGCCACACUGGGACUGAGACACGGCCCAGACUCCUACGGGAGGCAGCAGUGAGGAAUUUUCCGCAAUGGGCGCAAGCCUGACGGAGCGACGCCGCGUGAGGGAUGACGGCCUUCGGGUUGUAAACCUCUUUUAUAAGGGAAAAAGGUUACCGUGCUAAUACCACGGUGAUUUGAUGGUACCUUUUGAAUAAGCCCCGGCUAACUACGUGCCAGCAGCCGCGGUAAUACGUAGGGGGCGAGCGUUGUCCGGAGUUACUGGGCGUAAAGAGCGUGUAGGCGGUUGGAAAAGUCAGGUGUGAAAUUCUUCGGCUCAACCGAGGGACUGCGCCUGAAACUUUCCGACUGGAGUUUGGGAGGGGCAACUGGAAUUCCUGGUGUAACGGUGAAAUGUGUAGAUAUCAGGAGGAACACCCGUGGCGAAGGCGGGUUGCUGGACCAAAACUGACGCUGAGACGCGAAAGCGUGGGUAGCAAACAGGAUUAGAUACCCUGGUAGUCCACGCUGUAAACGAUGAGUGCUAGGUGUAGGGGGUAUCGACUCCCUCUGUGCCGCAGUUAACGCAUUAAGCACUCCGCCUGGGGAGUACGGCCGCAAGGUUAAAACUCAAAGGAAUUGACGGGGGCCCGCACAAGCGGUGGAGUAUGUGGUUUAAUUCGAUGAUACGCGAGAAACCUUACCUGGUCUUGACAUGCUGGGAACCCUUAAGAGAUUAGGGGGUGCCUGCUUGCAGGAGCCCAGACACAGGUGGUGCAUGGUUGUCGUCAGCUCGUGUCGUGAGAUGUUGGGUUAAGUCCCGCAACGAGCGCAACCCUUGUUGCUAGUUACCAGCACGUAAUGGUGGGAACUCUAGCGAGACUGCCGGUGACAAACCGGAGGAAGGUGGGGAUGACGUCAAAUCAUCACGCCCCUUACGACCAGGGCCACACACGUACUACAAUGCCCGGUACAGCGAGUUGCAAAGCCGCGAGGCAGAGCCAAUCUCUUAAAACCGGGCCAAGUUCAGAUCGGAGGCUGCAAUUCGCCUCCGUGAAGCUGGAAUCGCUAGUAAACGCAGAUCAUCAUGCUGCGUUGAAUACGUUCUCGGGCCUUGUACACACCGCCCGUCACACCAUGGGAGCCAGUAACACCCGAAGCCGGUGAGCUAACUUAACGGAGGCAGCUGUCGAAGGUGGGAUUGGUGACUGGGGUGAAGUCGUAACAAGGUAGCCGUAGGAGAACCUGCGGCUGGAUCACCUCCUUUCUAUGGAGA
rnacentral:rRNA from 1 species